rnacentral:rRNA from 1 species
UUGUUGACUCAGAAUAACUAAGCUGAUCGCAUGGUCUAGUACCGGCGACGUGUCUUUCAAGUAUCUGCCCUAUCAACUUUCGAUGGUAGUGUAUCUGACUACCAUGGUGAUUACGGGUAACGGAGGAUAAGGGUUCGACUCCGGAGAAGGGGCCUGAGAAAUGGCCACUACGUCUAAGGAUGGCAGCAGGCGCGCAAAUUACCCACUCUCAGAAUGAGGAGGUAGUGACGAGAAAUAACGAGACUGUUCUCUUUGAGGCCAGUCAUCGGAAUGGGUACAAUCUAAACCCUUUAACGAGUAUCUAUGAGAGGGCAAGUCUGGUGCCAGCAGCCGCGGUAAUUCCAGCUCUCAAAAUGCAUAGAAUUAUUGCUGCGGUUAAAAAGCUCGUAGUUGGAUCUGUGUCGCGAGGUUGGGUCCGUCUGUUAGGCGUGUACUCAAUUCUCCGACUUUUUGCUGGUUUUCCUGGCAUGGUUUUAAUCGAUUGUGUCAGGUGGCUGGCGAUUUUACUUUGAACAAAUCAGAGUGCUCAACACAGGCGUUUCGCUUGAAUGUUUUUGCAUGGAAUAAUAGAAAAGGAUUUCGGUCCUAUUUUAUUGGUUUUAUAGGCUGAAAUAAUGGUUAAUAGAGACAAACGGGGCCAUUACUAUUGUUGCGUGAGA